CAAUAGCGUAUAUUAAAGUUGUUGCGGUUAAAAAGCUCGUAGUUGGAUUUCUGCCGAGGACGUCCGGUCCGCCCUCUGGGUGAGUACAUGGCACGGCCUGGGCAUCUUCUUGGGGAACGUAUCGGCACUUGACUGUGUGGUGCGGUAUCCAGGACUUUUACUUUGAGGAAAUUAGAGUGUUUCAAGCAGGCACACGUCUUGAAUACAUUAGCAUGGAAUAAUAAGAUAGGACCUCGGUUCUAUUUUGUUGGUUUCUAGAGCUGAGGUAAUGAUUAAUAGGGAUAGUUGGGGGCAUUCGUAUUUAACUGUCAGAGGUGAAAUUCUUGGAUUUGUUAAAGACGGACUACGGCGAAAGCAUUUGCCAAGGAUGUUUUCAUUGA
rnacentral:rRNA from 1 species